CCAACUUAAAUCUAAAUUUAUCUUAGAAAACCUAAUUUUAUUUUAGUUUAGCAAAAAGUGCAAUUCUGGCUUUCCGGUCGUCUAAAUUUAAAAUAUUUUACGAAGAUUUUUGACAUGCUUAAAUUUAAUAGAACGUCUACGAGGUCUAUGGUCAACCAGCUGGUGCCGUUUUUUUCGUAAAGAAUUGGUAAAGAAGAAUGAAUGAAAGUGAGUGAAUGAAAUCGUCAUUCGAACAAAAAAAAUACAUGUUUUUCUUAUAAUUUCGUACGAAGGAAUACAAAAUCAUAAUUUAUGUGUGUUUUAGGAGCAAAUACAAUAAAUAAAUGCAAUAAGACAUUUUUCUAUGAAUUUUAAAACAUACAUCUGGCAUUAUUCUAAACCAUAAAAAACACAGCGUCAAGAUCAUAAAAAAAACGUGUUGAGAUUAGGUAUCGUUAGGUUUUCAAAUCAAAAAUACUUAAUAAAACAGAAAAAUGACUAAAUAAAAGGACGUCGAUGAAGAGGAAGACCAAGGCGGAAGUAGUAAAAGUGGAAGUUGUGUUGUAUCAGAACGACGGAACUCGCUGUGAAUGCAUAUUAAAAGUCCUCAACCAACAAGACUCCUAUCUUCUUCUUCGUCGUUCCCUCACUGCUGAGAAUCGCAACCACAGGUCAUGGUUGUCCAUUUGGUACGGCUAUAUGCUGCGUGCACCGCCCUCUGUAUGCUGCCGCCCACCGUCUCCUUCACGAUGUCAGACCACCUCGUAGGCGCCCUUCCUCGCGCACGUUUGCCAUCCAUUUGCCCAACGAUGAUCUGCUUCUCCAGACUGUGCUUCGGAGACCGCAUAAUAUGUCCGAAGAAGCUUAGGGCACGAUUCCGGCAUAUUGGGGAGACUCAUUCGUACACGUAAAUAGCCUUAAAUUACCAAGUAGAGAAAGUCCAGCGUGAGGUGAGCACGAAGUUUUGAAGACAGGAGUGAUUGUAUUAGAUUUCCUCCUGAGCAGUUGCACUACAAAUUAAGUGAUGAAGAGGUGAGUGAUCGAAAAAAUAUGUCAUAGAAGAACUUGUAAACAUCAUAUUAAUCUGAGUUACUUGUAUUAAUCAGAUUUUUUACUAAUUUUCAGGCAAUACUUGACAGAAACCUUGAGUGGGAUGACAUAAUUAUAAAAAAAAUCAAUAAGACGAUGAACUCGUAAUGUUUAUAAAACAUUAGUAUGGAAGAAUAUUUGUGCAUCUUGGAGCAAUGGCAACAUAUUUGGGAGUUGUGAGUGACAACGAGCAGAUUACAUAACAAUGGGAGAAUAACAAGGGCCUUAACUGAAAAAACUGGUGAAUGUUCCCAAAUAAACCUCACAGAUGUAGAAGAAAGACAAAAUAAAUUUGUUUAUUUAUUUUAUUUCUGUUCCCUACUAAACUAGUAAUAAAACAUACUUGUUACAAAUA